rnacentral:rRNA from 1 species
UACGGAGGGGGCGAGCGUUAUUCGGAAUUAUUGGGCGUAAAGGGCGCGUAGGCGGCUCGAUAAGUCAAAGGUGAAAUCCCUCGGCUCAACUGAGGAACUGCCUUUGAAACUGUAGAGCUUGAGUCCGGGAGGGGGUAGCGGAAUUCCCAGUGUAGCGGUGAAAUGCGUAGAUAUUGGGAGGAACACCAGUGGCGAAGGCGGCUACCUGGACCGGAACUGACGCUGAGGCGCGAAAGCGUGGGUAGCAAACAGG